AUGGUAGAUGCAUAGCAGGGCAAAUCAACAAAAAAUGUAUGCGCAUACGCCAAUCUUAUGAACAUUUCCAGUUAGUGAAGGUCUCAAAUGUGAUCCCCACAAGACAGUGGGCCAGUUCUUUUUUUCCUUUGGACCGAUGGAUCCGUUAGUGGGAGCACUGUUGCGCUUGCACUUGCAGUUCCCUACAUUUUCAUUGUAUUUUUCUCACUCCACUCUCCUCUAGCACACUGUGACAGCUGUCAGUAUGCACUCACCCCACUUACUGUUGCCUGCCCCAUUCGCUCAGCAGUUGCCAGUUGAUAGUGGGUGGUGCACUGUAUCAACUUUGGUUAAAUGAUACAUUUUCACUCCUUCAACAUUAAAGGUUUCAUAUUUCACCAAACAGGCACCAUUAUAACAUGCAGAGAUAGAGCCUUGUCAUCACUAUGCCAUUGGUAUUUUGUGAAAUACUCAGCUCAAGAAAUGGCUAGGACAUAAUCUAAUUGUGACAAUCUUUUUGCAGACUAAAGCCAUCACUCCAUGCAUAGCUGACCAAGAGGAAGACUACGAACAAUUUGAAGUCUAGUUAGUGCUAUCUACCAUUCGAAGCUAUAUGUGACAUUUCAUCCAAUAUGACAAGGAUAUGGCACGGUUAACACAAAAAUGCUUUAAAAGAAGAACGCACAGCAUAGGUUUUAAAGUAGCUUGAGCCAAAUGCAGUUGACCUUGUGUUGUGGGAUAUCAAGUUUCAGCAUUAUCCUGUUGAACAACCAUUACUGGUAGACCAUAUCCAAAGUUAAAACCUUUUUUCUCUUUCCUACAGCUUGACCCAUCACCCAGUAUAAAAGGGGCAGAGACACAAUAGCUUCUCGCCAACAAUCCUCCAGGGAAAACACUCCUUCAGCAGCUAGCAGAGAACAACAUGCCUAAACCCACUUUUGUACUCGCCAUCAUCCUUCUAAUUGCUCUCUUCAGUGCAUCUGCAGGUCAAACCAUAGUGGUGGAAAUUGAUAAUGAUGUUCCCCCGAAGUUCAUAAAGGGGCACAGCAGGAAGAUUCUCACAGAGAUUCAGGACUAUGACUAUGGAGGAGCAAACUCUAGGCAUGAUCCACGCAGAAGGCCCGGGAGGAAUGGCUAGAGAGUUAAGACCCUUCGUGCAUAUCCCUGCAUAUGACAGUGUGGAGGUAUUACUAUGAAAGCAGGUCAUAUGAGGGACCAGUCACUCGCGGUAGCAAGCCUAUAUGAUUUUCAAAUUCCCUGCAGUAUGGUUUAUAUAUCCAAAUAGAUCAGAGAGCGCGAUAGAUAUUACUCGUAUCCCCUAAAUAGUCUAGCCGCGUGAAGUUGAGACUUGUUCAUUGGCACUAAGUGCUACAAAAGCAUACAUGAUGCAGAGGGUUAUCUAUGAUGCCAUUUGGCGCAGUUAUAAUAAUUUCUUGUGAGCUCAAGCUGCUCUGUUCUCUUCUGUUUUGUUCUUGAUUCUGACUAGAACCAGAAUCUCCCACACUAGGGCAUGCUUGUGUACAAGCACACUCAUCACAUAUACAACUGAGGAUAAUAAUUCAAGCAUAGAGAAGGCAGUAAAGAGUAAUUGGAGAGUGAGU